UGCAUCUUGUUCGCCGUAGUCGGAAUCCCGCCGGAGCCACGAAACCACCGGAAGCCUACGUCGGAACUUGAAGACGUUGUCGAGUACACUACCAGGAGUUCCAACAACCCACCGGAGUCCGAGGGAUCUACCAGAGACACCUACAGCAGCGGGGACAAAGCCGUAGUCGGAACCGGGAUCACGUCGACGUUCGUGUCGUCACCGUUCGGUUAAUCACUUUUGUUCAUCCUCUUGGUUUCCUAUCAAUUACUCGUGCAUUAUUACAAGAAAACGCAAAGCAACCAAUGUUGAUAGACAAGAUGAUGAAGAAGCAAGUUAGGGUGGACUAGAAACUCACCUAGAAAAUAAACUAUGUUUUAAAUUUGAUUUAUGUUUUGAUCAUGUUGAACAAUGUAUGACAUUUUAGUCAUUUAUGAAAUUUGACUUAAUCAAUAUUGUCACAAAUAGUGUUAUGUUGUUUUGAGCAAUUUGUUCGUCUCAUCCCGAUGUUUCCGCCAUCGGUUGGGGUGUGACAGAUUGGUAUCAGAGCCAUAACUAUAGGGAAUUAGGUAGGAUUGCCUUACUUUUGCUUAGCCUAUAGUAGGAGUACUCUGAUACCGGAUUGGUAUCAGAGCCAUAACUAUAGGGAAUUAGGAAUGCCAUGCCUAGUCUAUAGUUUAAGAGCUUAUUCACUAUGUGUUGCUUAAAACAACUUCCUUUCUAUCUUCUUUGCUUCUCUCUACUUUCUUGGACUCUUAAUAUACAUGCCUUUCCUAAGGCUAACACAAUACACUUGGAGGUUUUGAAGACACUCUUAUAACACAAUCGAAACAACUCAUCAAAAAUAGGGGUGAUUCCCACAUUUGGUGAUGACUUUCACUCAUCUAUACUUUGAAUUUUGCACGAAAUCUACCCUCAAGUUAGGAGUGAUAUCCAAAUCUUGAAAGGAAUUUCCAUUUCAUAUUCUAGUGGACCCUUAUCUUUUGAUAAGUACCAACCACACUAGGGUACGAUGUUAUCAAGUUAGAGGUGAAACUCGCAUCUUGUUAACUAGUCCCACUCUUCGAUUUUCAAUCUCGCCAAAGUUUUGAUUUUCCCAAUCGAUUAAGAACGUGUAGUAACUGGAAGGACAAAUAUCGUUAGUCGCUUCUCGAUGAGAGUAUUUGUCUAUUAGGCCAAAACACGUUUCCUUAAUUCGAAAAGGACUUCGAUUUACUUUGGAAUAGUCAUAUGUUAUGUUCCGUGACAAUCCAUGUUUUACGUUAAAUCUCUUUUAUGCUAUCUCAAUUUUCAUGUGUUUUACAUUUGUACGAUAUAUCAUUUCAAUCUAAUACAUGCAUGCUAGUAUGUUAUACUGGAUUUGUGAUUACUGGGUUAUUCUUAUGUGAUAAACUUGUCUUUUAACCCACAUCUUAACAUGUAUAGCACUAUGCGUAGUGCUAUAGGAGUAGCGCCCGCCCGUAUUCUAGUGGUCAUGUUAAAUUAACAACAUUACACCCUCUUCGUUGCGACGAUGUUGGGUAGUCAACUUUGCGGUACACGAUGGGUUGACCUGUUUAUUCACAUGCCAGUGAUACGUUAAUCUUGUUAACUAAGUAUGUAAUGUGAAUUGUUCUAAAUUUUAUGCUAAUACUCAUAUUUCCAAAAAUGGAAGCUUAUCGUAAAGAUAGGAGUGAUUUCUUUACCUUGACGAUUAGCUCCCCUCACUUUUCAACUUCACCAAUGAGCUAGGGGUGAUUUCCUUACCUCAGAGGCAGUUACUAACUCUUUUUUUCGUUAUCAAUGAAACUUUAUAUUUGAACGUCACUUUCAUUUCAAGCUUGGAGACACGUAUCGCACUAUCUUCAAAAUCUAAAGCAAUAAUAACCUCUCAUGAACGAACUAAAUUUACGUUGCUUCACUAUGUGAAAACUCAUGUUAUGCUAUGUAAAACUAAUUGAACAUUUUAUUUGCUAUGUGAAACUAAUUGAACAAACUAUAUACUAUGUGAAACUAUUUGAAACAUUACAUGCUAUGUGACGCAUUCAUGAAAACAACUUCCCAUAAACAAAACAUUAUGAUGAAGGUCUCAUGUAUUCUUUCUUUUAAAUCUUUAGAUGUCCUCUUUUCAGAAGUCUCACUCUUAGAUUUCGAGGACGAAAUCUCCUAAAGUAGGGGAGACUGUAACAUCCGUCAAAUCGACCCGUCCCAAAAUUUGACCCGUUUUGAAAGAUCCGAAUCCUAACCUUGAACCAACGGAAAUUUUUCGCGAAAUGAAUAAUCGUUUAAAUUUUUUUUAAUGCGGUUAUAAAUAUGGUUAAUUAUUUAGUCGUUUAAAUAAUUAAACUAAUUAAUUUUACCAUUAAAAAAGUUAUUUAUUUCUUUAAUUAAUUAAUUAAUUUAAAGAUGUUAGAAAUGAGUUUUAAGGUUAUAUGAUUAACCAAGUUAACUUAUCAAGUUAAUUAAGUUUUUAAACUUAAGGGACCAUUUAUGUAACUAUUAAGAAUAUAAUAUGAUCAUCACCCUAAACUAAAUUACAUGCACAACUUUUUUUUUCCUAGUUUGCCGCCAAAAAGGAAACAGCAACUAUCAUUUCCUUUCCAUCUUCCUUCGUUGAUUUCACGCGAUUACAACUAUUAAAUAGUUUCCAAUUUUAAGUCCUUGACAACCUGUAAACACGUCAAUACCCGAAAUCCCUUUAUGAUGACCAAGAAUAACCCAACCCCUUUCACCUAUAUAUACCCUCUCAUACCUUGUCUCGACACCUCACAACCUGCAUCUUGUUCGCCGUAGUCGGAAUCCCGCCGGAGCCACGAAACCACCGGAAGCCUACGUCGGAACUUGAAGACGUUGUCGAGUACGCUACCAGGAGUUCCAACAACCCACCGGAGUCCGAGGGAUCUACCAGAGACACCUACAGCAGCGGGGACAAAGCCGUAGUCGGAACCGGGAUCACGUCGACGUUCGUGUCGUCACCGUUCGAGAUCAUGUUUGAUGUUAAUCACUUUUGUUCAUCCUCUUGGUUUCCUAUCAAUUACUCGUGCAUUAUUACAAGAAAACGCAAAGCAACCAAUGUUGAUAGACAAGAUGAUGAAGAAGCAAGUUAGGGUGGACUAGAAACUCACCUAGAAAAUAAACUAUGUUUUAAAUUUGAUUUAUGUUUUGAUCAUGUUGAACAAUGUAUGACAUUUUAGUCAUUUAUGAAAUUUGACU
rnacentral:lncRNA from 1 species